GGACUUUUCACCAUGCAAAGGUUAGACGUAUAUGUGUUUAAUAUUAUAGAUAUCAUGAUCAGUUCGCUCCAUGGACAAGCAAGAUUUUUGUUAGCCAAGCUCAAUCCUUCUGAUCAUUUUGUUAUCGAGUUCUUUCACGUAUUCUCUUUCCAUCGUCUUCACAAAACUAACUAUACUCAUAUAAGGUGACCUUAUGAUAAUUAAAGAGAGAAAAAUUGCUAAUUAUUGUAACCAGAAAAAUGCUAAUCUAUUUUAUAAUUACCAUUUCUUAGUGCAGUUUCGUUUUUUCACGUAGUCUUUUAUUUAUCUUAAAGUUUAGUAAAAAAAAAAAUUAUUUGUUAUUAA